AUGUUUGAGAAUAGAAGGGCUAUCUUAAUGCAACAAGCUGAGUUGCCGUCACUAAGAGAUGCCAUUGCUGCUAUAGCACAGGAAGAGACUAGACUGAAAGCUGUGGAGCGGUCAAAGGUGGCUUCCAGACCUGCUUAUCACAUAAUGAAUAGGCCUGAGACAAGAGACUGCCACAAUUGUGGGCUGAAAGGGCAUCUCAGUUACCAGUGCACAGCCCCACCGAAGAGAGACAACAAAGGCAGAGGAGGUUACAGAGGCAGCUACAGAGGAGAUGGCAGGGGAUACUAUCGUGGAAGCAACAACAGGGGCAGAGGUGCUCCAAGUAACUAUAACAACUACAAUCGCUACCAAGGGGAGGCCAGAGCGAAUGUAUCUGUCAUGAGUGAGGGUCAGUCCAGUUCUUCUCAUAGUCAAGACAUGAGAAAUGAGCAGCAGGGUCAAGACAAGAGGAACGGACAGCAAGCAGAGACAGUGUUUGGUGACUUUGCUCAUUUUGUGUACUCUGAUGAAGGAGAUGGGAACUGGGAGGAGGCUUGGGGCAGGAACCAGGCAUAG
rnacentral:rRNA from 1 species